GACGAACGCUGGCGGCGUGCUUAACACAUGCAAGUCGAACGGAAAGGCCCUGCUUUUGUGGGGUGCUCGAGUGGCGAACGGGUGAGUAACACGUGAGUAACCUGCCCUUGACUUUGGGAUAACUUCAGGAAACUGGGGCUAAUACCGGAUAGGAGCUCCUGCUGCAUGGUGGGGGUUGGAAAGUUUCGGCGGUUGGGGAUGGACUCGCGGCUUAUCAGCUUGUUGGUGGGGUAGUGGCUUACCAAGGCUUUGACGGGUAGCCGGCCUGUGAGGGUGAUCGGCCACAUUGGGACUGAGAUACGGCCCAGACUCCUACGGGAGGCAGCAGUGGGGAAUAUUGCACAAUGGGCGGAAGCCUGAUGCAGCAACGCCGCGUGCGGGAUGACGGCCUUCGGGUUGUAAACCGCUUUCGCCUGUGACGAAGCGUGAGUGACGGUAAUGGGUAAAGAAGCACCGGCUAACUACGUG
rnacentral:rRNA from 1 species